UACGUAGGGUGCAAGCGUUUGUCCGGAAUUAUUGGGCGUAAAGAGCUCGUAGGCGGUUUGUCGCGUCUGCUGUGAAAACUCAGGGCUUAACCCUGAGCCUGCAGUGGGUACGGGCAGACUAGAGUGUGGUAGGGGAGAUCGGAAUUCCUGGUGUAGCGGUGGAAUGCGCAGGAUAUCAGGAGGAACACCGGUGGCGAAGGCGGAUCUCUGGGCCGGAACUGACGCUGGAGGAGCGAAAGCGUGGGGAGCAAACAGGA
rnacentral:rRNA from 1 species